rnacentral:lncRNA from 1 species
AAGGAACAAUAAUAACAGAUAACAAUAGUUUAGUAACAACAAACUCAACCCAAGAUGUAAAAUUUAAAAGACAUGAUUUUUAAACCAUCAAAAGCUGGUAGGUGAAGCUUAAACAAGGUCGUCUUCUUUGUGGGUUUCAAUGGUAACAUCAGAAGUAGGAUAAGCAGCACAAGUGAGAACAAACCCUUGACCAAUCUGCUCAUCAUCAAGGAAACUCUGGUCAGACUGAUCAACAGAUCCAGACACAACUUUACCAGCACAGCUUGAACAAGAACCAGCACGGCAAGAGUAUGGCAAAUCGAUUCCAGCUUCCUCGGCCGCGUCAAGAACGUAAACGUCGUCGUCACACUCAACCUCUUGCUCACCUUCUGGUGUGAUGAACUUGACCUUGUAUGUAGCCAUGGCUGUGACACGUCCUCCACGAGCGGUGCCUGAUUUGAGACCGAAGAGGGAUUGUGUGUUGGCUGAUGGAAGGGAACGGAGACUGAUGGGAGCUGGGGAACGGCGGAUGAAUGAAGUUCCGACGAUGGCGCUUGAGAGAGCAGUGGAAGCCAUUUUUUUUGUUUUGUGUUUUGGGAGAUAAAGUUGAGAUUUUUGAGGAUUAUGAUGGCUUGUGGAAAUGGCGUGGAGAAAGAUUAAAAGGUGAGAUUUUCUAGUGAGAAUCCUAUCUGCCACGUGGCGAUUAUUGUGUGGAUUGUUGGAUUAUCGUCUUUGUGCUUUUUGAUUUUUGUGUGUGUCAUUGUGUUUGACACACUUUAAAAACAGUAUCUUGUUGAGGUGAGUAUUACGUGGUCUCACUUGGGACAGCUCACACACUAUUCGGACCUUGUUUGUAUCGUCUAAACGAACUCUCCAUUUGUUCCACUAAAAUGAAUCAUAAAAUGUGUGGACUGUGGACUGCUUGUAACAUCAUAUCUAGGCCGGGUAUAAGUUCCAAACCCAAUCGAACCAUUUUCACAAAUAUCAUUUCUUGAAAUUAUAGUAUAUUUUAAAUUGUCUAAAAUUAUAUCACUUUUUCAAAUAAAAGCCUAAUUAGUGUAAAUUAUUCCAUUAUAUAACUUAGAUUGAACCUAGUUUACAUAUAAUGUAUACCAAAAUACGUAAACUCCACCUUCAGUCAUGCUUCUAAUGGCCUUGUAGUACAUGAAUAAUUUGUGCAGAGAAGAGGUCAUACUUGCUUAAAUGGGGUAAAACGUGAAAGGAGUUUUCACUGAAGACCAGCCUCUCGACAUAACGACGGAAAGAAGAAAACUCGUCGGAAACUUAAACACAAUCAGCGAAUAUGAUAGGUGUAAAGAUUUUUAUUAUUUUUAGUAAAAAAGUGGCUCAAAUUUUUAUUUUAGGUAAAAAAAAAGUAGGUGAGAUGUCUUAAAGAAACAUGUUUAUCUAUCAUAUCAAGAUAACACACUGUUUUUUAAAGCACAAUCGUUGCAUUGGGAAGCACACCUUUCUCUCUCACUUGGUAAAGUUUUUCUAGAUCUAGGGUUUCGUUUUAUUUAGCUUCAUCUUCGGCGGCGGAUUUGCAAAGGAGGAUCAGGGGUGAGCAAGCUCUUUCUCCGACAACGGGGUGUGGUUUCUUCCCCUUUCGAGGUAGUUGUGGCUCCGGUUGGGAUGGUUGAGAAGCUCUGGAGCUGUGGCUUUCCGGUUGAGGACGCUGGAAGGUUUGCCUGGAAGUCUUCUCGCGGCUCUGCCAUCUUCACGGUCGCUGCGGCUACGGCGGAACUCGGAGGGGUUUAGGUGGGAAGCGUUGUUUCGUCUGGUGGUUAGCUGCAGAUCUCUGAUCUUCGAGGGCUAUCGCAGAUUCCGGAGUCUAGGUGUACGUCUGAGCCAUCGACCCUUGAAUCCACUGCGGUUUCGUAUCCACCGGACCGGAUUGAAAGUUUUGUGCUCUGGAGGUUUGAAGGUGUUCGGAUCUGGAACGGAGGGGUUUGGUCCUAGUGCGACAUAUUGCUUGGUCAGGAUAUGUCGACGUAGAGCCGGUGUGUUGGAGAGUCGAGUUUUUUGGGAGGUUUGUAGCGGGAGUGGCGAGUCGACGGUGAGGUGCAUCGUCGGA